UUCUGGGGCAAGUCUGGUGCCAGCAGCCGCGGUAAUUCCAGCUCCAAUAGCGUAUAUUAAAGUUGUUGCAGUUAAAAAGCUCGUAGUUGAAUUUCGGGGUUAGUAGAUUGGUCAUGCCUCUGGUAUGCACUGGUCUCACUGAUUCCUCCUUCCUGAUGAGCCGUAAUGCCAUUAAUUUGGUGUUGCGGGGAAUUUGGACUGUUACUUUGAAAAAAUUAGAGUGUUUAAAGCAAGCUAACGCUUGAAUACAUUAGCAUGGAAUAAUGAAAUAGGACGUUCGAUCCUAUUUUGUUGGUUUCUAGGAUUGACGUAAUGAUUAAUAGGGAUAGUUGGGGGCAUUAGUAUUCAAUUGUCAGAGGUGAAAUUCUUGGAUUUAUUGAAGACUAACUACUGCGAAAGCAUUUGCCAAGGAUGUUUUCAUUAAUCAAGAACGAAAGUUAGGGGAUCGAAGACGAUCAGAUACCGUCGUAGUCUUAACCAUAAACUAUGCCGACUAGGGAUCGGAUGAUGU
rnacentral:rRNA from 1 species